CAGAGGUCCCGAGCGUUGUUCGGAUUUAUUGGGCGUAAAGGGUGCGUAGGCGGCGGAGUAAGUUGGGUGUGAAAUCCCGGGGCUCAACCUCGGAAUGGCAUUCAAUACUGCUUCGCUAGAGUACUGGAGAGGAGGCUGGAAUUUACGGUGUAGCAGUGAAAUGCGUAGAGAUCCGGAAGAACACCGGUGGCGAAGGCGGUCUGCUGGGCAGUUGCUGACACUGAGGCGCAACAGCGUGGGGAGCAAACAGG
rnacentral:rRNA from 1 species